GAUGAACGCUGGCGGCGUGCCUAACACAUGCAAGUCGAGCGGCAGCGAGGGGUGCUUGCACCCUGUCGGCGAGCGGCGGACGGCUGAGUAACGCGUGGGAACGUGCCCCAAAGUGAGGAAUAACUGCCCGAAAGUGUAGCUAAUACCGCAUAUUAUCUUCGGAUCAAAGGAUUUAUCCGCUUUGGGAGCGGCUCGCGUCGGAUUAGGUAGUUGGUGAGGUAAUGGCUCACCAAGCCGACGAUCCGUAGCUGGUCUGAGAGGAUGACCAGCCAGACUGGAACUGAGACACGGUCCAGACUCCUACGGGAGGCAGCAGUGAGGAAUCUUCCACAAUGGGCGAAAGCCUGAUGGAGCAACGCCGCGUGCAGGACGAAGGCCUUCGGGUUGUAAACUGCUUUUAUAAGUGAGGAAUAUGACGGUAACUUAUGAAUAAGGAUCGGCUAACUACGUG
rnacentral:rRNA from 1 species